CAAUAGCGUAUAUUAAAGUUGUUGCAGUUAAAAAGCUCGUAGUUGGAUUUGUGGCGUACGGUGGGUUCCGGGCACUUGUUGUCUGAGUAACUUGCUGUUGCCAUCCUUGGGUGGAACCUGUGUGGCAUUAGGUUGUCGUGCAGGGGAUGCCCAUCAUUUACUGUGAAAAAAUUAGAGUGUUCAAAGCAGGCUUAUGCCGUUGAAUAUAUUAGCAUGGAAUAAUGAGAUAGGACUUUUUUGCUAUUUUGUUGGUUUGCGCAAAGAGGUAAUGAUUAAUAGGGACAGUUGGGGGUAUUCGUAUUCCAUUGUCAGAGGUGAAAUUCUUGGAUUUUUGGAAGACGAACUACUGCGAAAGCAUUUACCAAGGAUGUUUUCGUUAA
rnacentral:rRNA from 1 species